AAGAAAAAAAAUCGAAAUAGUAACAAAGAGAAUUGAUAAAAAAAUAAAAAAAAAGGAAAAAACAAGACUCCGAAGAAGACAACGUUGUUUCGAAGGUGGGAAAAAGCAGGGUUUUGUUGUGAAAAAAUACAGAAAGACAAAGAAGAGAAACAGUAGUUCUGAAUACAGAUUUCGACACCCAUUUAUGUAAAUUCAAACAAGAUAAGGAAUUUCUUUGCCUAAAGAGAUCAUUGGGUGUCUGAAAAACAUAGCAAAAUUUAAGCUUUUUGGGAUUUCAAAGUGCAAACCCAGUUAGGGUUUUCUCCAUUUUCUGACCAAGGUAAAGUUCUUUGCUUUGGAAUUUAUUACUUAACUGCAGUUACUGUGAAAGAAUUUUAAUUAUGGGUAUAUUUUGCUUCUUUGGUUGGUUAAUUUUCAGUCUUGCUUGCAUUAAUUGACAUAAUCAAAAUUGGUUCUUUUUAGUGCAAAGAUAUAAUCUUUAAGCAUUGCAGGCUUGACCCAAGUUCUUAAAUAGGGUUUUUGUUUCUGGGAUUAGCUAAUUUUCUAUGGUUCAAGUUGAAAUUGUUUUAGGGCUUGAGUUUCUUUCUGUUUCCCUUUUGUUUAAUCUGUAAUCUCAAUUCUUUUAUUUGCUUUUCCGUUUUAUUCAACUCUACUGCUUAGUUUUUGAGGUUUUGGAACUCAUUCCUGUGUUUUGAAACUUUGGUUUUUCAGGUUGACAUUACUGCCAUUUAUUUAUAGGGAUUUUAGAAGUUCCAGUUUUUUCAGCAAGUUUCCGACUUGAUCAAAGGGGCAUGACAGUCUGGUAAGGUUCACUUGAUAACAAGUUUUUGUUUUCCUUAUUGGUUGAUAUUUGUAUUUUGCUGCUGCCUUGCAUCUUUACAUUUACACCUGCCAGUCUGUUCAAAUUUGUGAAUGGACCUUUUUGGCAUUUUACUAGUUAUUCUUUCAGUUGAACAGUUGUCGAUUCUGAUGUAUAAGUUUUUGAUGUUUUGGAAUGAUAGUGUAAAUGCAUACUGAUUUAGUGAGCCUCAUUCGACCCCCAGCUUUUCUUUUCUCUUUCUAUCCUCAAGUCACCUUCUUGGUAUUUCUUUCUUUUAUACCUUUUGUGGUCGUGAUGAGGAAGCAAGAAUGUUUUGUUUAUGAACCAUUAGUAAGUAGGGCAAUAUACUAAUUACUAUACAAAGAGAAAGAGACUUUUUGGUAUACCUCUUGUAUUUGGAGAUUUCAGAUAAUCAGUAAAAUUACACAUUGCUUGACAAAAAAAAAAGCUAGAAGAGAAGGAGGUGGAUGCAAUUUUUCUUUUCUGGAGGAAUGUAAUUUCAUGCUUACUUUGCUGUACUGGCAGCAGCCAUAAACUGAUUGUUUAUUACAUGCUUACUUUGCUGUACUGGCUGCAGCCAUAAACUGAUUGUUCUCCCUUGAGACAUGCAGAAAACCAUGAUGCAAGUCACAUGAAUAGUGAAAGACUGAACUUGCUCAUGUUUUCACGUUUCAAAUAAUUUCGGGAUAGGAAGCUUUGGAGCCAUGUCAUAUGCAUUUUAAAAUAUUAUCAGGAAACAAUAAAAAGUGUAGAAAGAUCUGGAAAGGCUCGAAUCUGAUAUGAAUACUUAUGGCAAUUUCUUUGUUAGAGUCAUACUUUAAAAAAUGAUGGAAUCCACGGUAGAUAGUGUUGUAGAUCUCCUUUUCAUAUAAAAAAAGAAGAAUAUAGUUCUGUAGAUCUCCCCUAUGCGGUGGGAUGGCCUGUUCUUUUGAAUAAGGUCCUCACAAUACAACAUCUUGUAAGCAUUGUUGGGUCAAACUCUUUAUCAUGCUCUUAGUUUUUAUAUGUACAUCAUGUGACUUGUUGAAGGUCAAUUGAUAUAUUGCUUAUUGUGAACUUUUAGUCUUUGAUAUGAAUUUUCUCGAUCUCUAUUGAUCUUCCAUCUAUGACUUUCUUCUUUGGCAUUUGCUUGACAAUAUUUAUCUUUUCAAAAUAAAGUAAUUUUAUUGAUACGUACCCAGAAGGUACUGUAAAAAUCAGUCUCGCUAAAGGCUUAUUUUAUGCGCACUUAAGUUCACAUCAAUCUAGGUUGUGCAUUUUGCCUUGCUUAAGUGACACUUUAGUGUAGGUGCUAAGGUGUUAAAGCAUGUGCCUCGUCACUGAUGGGUUCUUCCUUUGAGAGGGCAGUACUAGACAAUAAAUAUAAUCAGAACUAGUAAAAUUAGAAACCGUUAUGAAUGAACUUGUAGUGAUUAAGAAUUUUCUAAUUAAAAUAUUAGUGUAAAAAACUAGUUCCAUAAAAUAUAAAACUACAUCUCUUCAUAUAAUCAGAAAUUUAAAAUGGUUCGGAAACUUGACUGACAUGAUUUUUACUUCAUAUAUUUCAUUUAGUAUAGUUAUUUGAUUAUUUCAAUUCUUUUAUCCAAAUAGUUAAUUUUUGUGUUUGUAGUAAUUUUUCGUUGCAUUAAAUAUACAUUUGUUGUAUUUUUUCUUCACUAGAGUUUUGUUCAUUAAAGCCUACGCUUUAUUUCCAUUUUCUUAAAGCCUCAAUAUAUUUUGGCGUCCGCGCCUUUCGCUUUUGACUACUUUGUGUAAAAACAUAGAGGAUAACUCCUAGAUAUUGAAGGAAUGCAUUAAGUCCAUCAGAUUUUCUAAAUCAGUUGUCACUUCCAUUCGUUGCUCAAAAAGAGCGUUGAUAUCAUUCAAAACUUCAGUGCUAGUAAUAUCAGCCGAAUUGGUGCCCGAUAUAAUGAUAGAAUGCUACUAGUCGCUCCGUGGGACAUCAGAGAUAAACCUAAAUUCACCGGGGGAAGUGCUCGGCUUGCUCCAAAAGUAAAGAUUCAUGAGGACUUAUCCAAAAAAAAAAAGAGUAAAGAUUCACGAGGCAUCUAAAUGUUUUACAUAUGAAGUAUGUCCUAUUUUCCAUCAGAAUUUCUCUCCAGCAAAAUUGUCCAUAUAAUGCAUAAUUGAGCAGCUUUUGAGCAGUUUGGUAUUGCAUAGUUGGUUAUCCGUUACCCACCAAUUUCCCAGUCAGUGUUUUCCCAGUUUAGUAUGACAUAGUUUCAUCUGCCGAUGGCUUCAUAAUAACAGGCAUGCAGUCUCAACUAUUCUUCUUUGAGGGUUAUCAAGUGUUAUUUUGAUUUCGUUUCUACAAUGAUUUGUGUAAACUUGUGGAGAUUAUGAGGUUUAGAGCAAUGUGGUGAAUAUGAUCCUCAUAGUGGAUUUGGGUGCAAAAGUUGCAUGAUGAAUGAGAAGGUCAUUCACCUCUUUUUUUACCCAUUAGUUCGUGGCUUUGAGUGAGUAUGAGUCUAGUAAGAUUUGCUACGUGCAAAUGAUGCUCUUUGUUGAUUUGGGUGCAAAAUUUGCAUGAGGAAUGAGAAGGUUAUUCACCUUCCUGAACCCAUUAGUCGAUGGUUCUUGAAUAGCUUCUCCUCCAACCCAAUUUCUAGCUGCAGCAUAAGCUUUAGUUUGGAAGAAUUUGGUCAAUUUGUAAGGACUGCUUUUGGUUGCACAGCAUUUUAGUCGACACCAAGUUUUCCUAAUAUUUCUUGAAUUGAAUACCUAACCAUUCUAUGAAAUUUUAGUGACAUCUCUGCUUCUUUUAGAUGUAAAGAGAGUUUUUAUGGACCUGCCACUACAUAAAGAAGUUUCUGGAACGGGAGAAAGAUGUGAAACUAAA
rnacentral:lncRNA from 1 species